GCUGGACAGAGCUCUGAGCAGCCUCAUCUAGUUGAAGAUGUCCCUGCUCAUUGCAAAGGGAAUUGGAACUUGAUGAUCUCUAAAGUCCCUUCCAACCCAAACCAUUCUAUGACUCUAUG